UACGUAGGGACCAAGCGUUGUUCGGAUUUACUGGGCGUAAAGGGCGCGUAGGCGGCAAUUCAAGUCAUCUGUGAAAUCUCCGGGCUUAACUCGGAACGGUCAGAUGAUACUGCUUUGCUAGAGUGCGGAAGGGGCAAUCGGAAUUCUUGGUGUAGCGGUGAAAUGCGUAGAUAUCAAGAGGAACACCUGAGGUGAAGACGGGUUGCUGGGCCGACACUGACGCUGAGUGCGCGAAAGCCAGGGGAGCAAGCGGG
rnacentral:rRNA from 1 species